GAGGAAAGAGGGGGGAGGGAGGAACACAGGCAAGUCGAACGAGAAGUGGAGACGGAAAACUUCGGGAGGAAGACUUUAUUUCGAGUGGCGGACGGGUGAGUAAUGGGUGGGUAACCUGCCUCAUACAGGGGGAUAACAGUUGGAAACGACUGUUAAUACCGCAUAAGACCACAGCACCGCAUGGUGCGGGGGUAAAAACUCCGGUGGUAUGAGAUGGACCCGCGUUCGAUUAGCCAGUUGGCGGGGUAACGGCCCAACAAAGCAACGAUCGAUAGCCGAUCUGAGAGGAUGACCGGCCACAUUGGGACUGAGACACGGCCCAAACUCCUACGGGAGGCAGCAGUGGGGAAUAUUGCACAAUGGGGGAAACCCUGAUGCAGCGACGCCGCGUGAGUGAAGAAGUAUUUCGGUAUGUAAAGCUCUAUCAGCAGGGAAGAAAAUGACGGUACCUGAGUAAGAAGCCCCGGCUAACUACGUG
rnacentral:rRNA from 1 species